GAUCCCGUAGCGUAGUGGAUAGCGCACUGGUUUCCUAAACCGGAGGUCGUUGGUUCGAAUCCAACCGGGAUCG
rnacentral:tRNA from 1 species